AGAAUCAACGCUGGCGGCGUGCCUAACACAUGCAAGUCGAACGAGAAAGUGGAGCAAUCCAUGAGUAAAGUGGCGCACGGGUGAGUAACACGUGACUAACCUACCUUUUAGUGGGGGGAUAACCUAGGGAAACCUGGGCUAAUACCGCAUAAUACCUACGGGUCAAAGCAGCAAUGCGCUGAAAGAGGGGGUCGCGGCCGAUUAGCUAGUUGGCGGGGUAAUGGCCCACCAAGGCAGUGAUCGGUAUCCGGCCUGAGAGGGCGCACGGACACACUGGAACUGAAACACGGUCCAGACUCCUACGGGAGGCAGCAGUGGGAAUUUUGCGCAAUGGGGGAAACCCUGACGCAGCAACGCCGCGUGGAGGAUGAAGUCCCUUGGGACGUAAACUCCUUUCGAUCGGGACGAUAAUGACGGUACCGGAAGAAGAAGCCCCGGCUAACUCGCGCCAGCAGCCGC
rnacentral:rRNA from 1 species